AGAGUUUGAUCCUGGCUCAGGACGAACGCUGGCGGCGCGCCUAACACAUGCAAGUCGAACGAGCGAGAGAGAGCUUGCUUUCUCAAGCGAGUGGCGAACGGGUGAGUAACGCGUGAGGAACCUGCCUCAAAGAGGGGGACAACAGUUGGAAACGACUGCUAAUACCGCAUAAGCCCACAGCUCGGCAUCGAGCAGAGGGAAAAGGAGCAAUCCGCUUUGAGAUGGCCUCGCGUCCGAUUAGCUAGUUGGUGAGGUAAUGGCCCACCAAGGCGACGAUCGGUAGCCGGACUGAGAGGUUGAACGGCCACAUUGGGACUGAGACACGGCCCAGACUCCUACGGGAGGCAGCAGUGGGGAAUAUUGCACAAUGGGGGAAACCCUGAUGCAGCGACGCCGCGUGGAGGAAGAAGGUCCUCGGAUUGUAAACUCCUGUUGUUGAGGAAGAUAAUGACGGUACUCAACAAAGAAGUGACGGCUAACUACGUGCCAGCAGCCGCGGUAAACCGUAGGUCACAAGCGUUGUCCGGAAUUACUGGGUGUAAAGGGAGCGCAGGCGGGAAGACAAGUUGGAAGUGAAAUCUAUGGGCUCAACCCAUAAACUGCUUUCAAAACUGUUUUUCUUGAGUAGUGCAGAGGUAGGCGGAAUUCCCGGUGUAGCGGUGGAAUGCGUAGAUAUCGGGAGGAACACCAGUGGCGAAGGCGGCCUACUGGGCACCAACUGACGCUGAGGCUCGAAAGUGUGGGUAGCAAACAGGAUUAGAUACCCUGGUAGUCCACACCGUAAACGAUGAUUACUAGGUGUUGGAGGAUUGACCCCUUCAGUGCCGCAGUUAACACAAUAAGUAAUCCACCUGGGGAGUACGACCGCAAGGUUGAAACUCAAAGGAAUUGACGGGGGCCCGCACAAGCAGUGGAGUAUGUGGUUUAAUUCGACGCAACGCGAAGAACCUUACCAAGUCUUGACAUCCUGCGACGCACAUAGAAAUAUGUGUUUCCUUCGGGACGCAGAGACAGGUGGUGCAUGGUUGUCGUCAGCUCGUGUCGUGAGAUGUUGGGUUAAGUCCCGCAACGAGCGCAACCCUUACUGUCAGUUACUACGCAAGAGGACUCUGGCAGGACUGCCGUUGACAAAACGGAGGAAGGUGGGGAUGACGUCAAAUCAUCAUGCCCUUUAUGACUUGGGCUACACACGUACUACAAUGGCGUUAAACAAAGAGAAGCAAGACCGCGAGGUGGAGCAAAACUCAGAAACAACGUCCCAGUUCGGACUGCAGGCUGCAACUCGCCUGCACGAAGUCGGAAUUGCUAGUAAUCGUGGAUCAGCAUGCCACGGUGAAUACGUUCCCGGGCCCAUUGUACACACGCGCCCGUNNCAAGGGCGAAAAUUCGUUNNUAAACAUA
rnacentral:rRNA from 1 species